rnacentral:rRNA from 1 species
CCUACGGGAGGCAGCAGUAGGGAAUCUUCCACAAUGGACGAAAGUCUGAUGGAGCAACGCCGCGUGAGCGAUGAAGGCCUUCGGGUCGUAAAGCUCUGUUGUUAGGGAAGAACAAGUAUCGGAGUAACUGCCGUGUACCUUGAACGGUACGCAAUAGUACCAGAACUAGCCACGGCUAACUACGUGCCAGCAGCCGCGGUAAUACGUAGGUGGCAAGCGUUGUCCGGAAUUAUUGGGCGUAAAGCGCGCGCAGGCGGUCCUUUAAGUCUGAUGUGAAAGCCCACGGCUCAACCGUGGAGGGUCAUUGGAAACUGGGGGACUUGAGUGCAGAAGAGGAAAGCGGAAUUCCACGUGUAGCGGUGAAAUGCGUAGAGAUGUGGAGGAACACCAGUGGCGAAGGCGGCUUUCUGGUCUGUAACUGACGCUGAGGCGCGAAAGCGUGGGGAGCAAACAGGAUUAGAUACCCUGGUAGUCCACGCCGUAAACGAUGAGUGCUAAGUGUUAGAGGGUUUCCGCCCUUUAGUGCUGCAGCUAACGCAUUAAGCACUCCGCCUGGGGAGUACGGCCGCAAGGCUGAAACUCAGAAGGGGAAUUGACGGUGGGCCCGCAUACAAGCGUUGUAGGAGCAUGUGGUUUAAUUCGAAGCAACGCGAAGAACCUUAC